GGGUGCUUGCUGCAUGACGUGGCGAGGCAGGCAAUAGCGUCGGUCGGGCCGCCACG
rnacentral:ncRNA from 12 species